UCUAAAAAGUUUAAAGUAAGAAGAAGAAAAAAUACACAUUUUUUAUAUGCGCCCCAAGUGCUUAAACUUCAACAACAACAACAACAACAAACGAAAAUACCCAAUAACAACCAUGUAAAACAUACAACCAUAACCUCAAUCAAUACAGCAAAUCGAGCAAUAUUACGGAUAACAAAUCAUAUAAUAAAUACAAAAUAUAAAAUUUAUUAAACUUAAUUGUUAAAUGUUAACUAAAGAAGAACACCAACAAAAUCAACGCCAGCAACCUGCCAGGAACAAAAACACCAACAACAACACCAACAACUCAUGCGGUACCCAAAAUCCCAAAAAACAACUAGAGAAGAAGAAGCAGCUGCAGCAGCAACAACAACAACAACAACAACAGCAACAAAUCAACAACAACGACAAGCUAAUGAGAGCAACGCCUCUCAAGAAAUUCUCAGGAGUUGCUGUUGCGCCAAUUGCAUUAACAUUGGAUUAGUCACCCUUCAAAUAAUUCCCAAAGAUAAAAACCCCAUAAACCAAAUUUGAGGCACUCAUGUAAAGUCAUUCGAAUGUGAAUGGGGAACGACACCAACCAACCAACUCCACCAACACCUACUCCACCACCACCACCAGCAGCAACAACAACAACAACAUCGACAUCGACAGUAACGGGACAUGGAUAUACAUAUGAAAAAAUUAACUAAACCACGGUACUACAACAUUACAUUUUGUCACACAAAUUACACAGGCACACUUACACAACUUCAAUACAACACACAAAGCAAUGUAAAGACUCACAGUUAAUCAAAAUAACAACAACAACAGAUGAAAUCGGCAUUUAAACUGAAAAGGCUGUUAAGAGAACAUGAAAAAAAAGAACAAUAACUAUUACUCGCAUAAUUCGUACAUCAUUUUUGUUGUUGACUAAAACGCAACGAACUAAAUACAAAACUAAACAAAAAGACGCUCGCAGUGCUUCCAAAACCUUAAAUGGCCAGUGCUUAAAGGAAAUAGAGAGAAAGAGAGAGCGAGAGAGAGAUAGACACCCACAAGCAGAGCAAUAGCAACAGCAAAUGACAGCGAAAAUGUUGCGGCCACACACUGCGGCAGCAACAACAAGCACAGCAACAAA
rnacentral:sRNA from 1 species